UGGCCUUGACCUCGACCUGCAGCCGGCGAGGUUACCCAACACGGAUUGGAAAUCAUGGUUAGAAUUAAUUGUAUACAUAUACAUAUACAUAUACAUAUACAUAUACAUAUACAUAUACAUAUACAUAUACAUAUACAUAUACAUAUACAUAUACACACACAUAUACAUAUACAUAUACACAUAUACGUCCAUAUACAUAUACACAUACACUGCAUACACACACAUAUACAUAUACAUAUACAUAUACAUAUACAUAUACAUAUACAAGAAGAUCAGUGUUGCUUACAAAUUACGCUUGUUUCGGAAUCUGUACUAACUGCAUGAGCACACACAUGCAUCAGUUAUUUCAAUUUAACAAAAAUAUUCGUAUACAAUACAAACAUCAAACAAUGGCACAUUGGCGUCAUUCUUUGAAUAUUUUCAAUGUUCAUGCACACACACAAUAUAUACAGACGCACCUGCAACAGAAGUCCACAGGCAGAGAAAAAUGAAGAAGAGUCUUGUUUGGUAUAACUUUCCUCAGGCUUUCCAAAAGGUUAUUUUUUACGUCAAUUUAACGAUAUAUCCUAAAUAUUCUGCUGAGUGUUGAUUACUCCAGCAUUCUUUCUUGAUAUAUGUCAACUGAUACUUCACAAUCUUGCUAGAUGACGAUUUUGACUUUACUCUAACUCAGC